UACUAUUGUAUAGUGAGUUGAAAUAUAAUAUACAUACAAGAAAUAUAACGGAGAUAUAUAUGAUGUAUUAAAGUGCUUUGUUUGUCAAGAUUUGGAAUAUAUUACACAUCUAAUAUAGUUCCUUAACACAAAACUGCAGUUGCUCAAACAAAACACUCUGCGCCGCCCUACCCAGAGCCUUCUCCGCAUGGCCUCACACGUCGGACAUCGUCGGCUAGCCGGCAGCCGCUAGUCCUCUUGCACCUCCCUCUCCAUACGGCUACGGUCCUACCCAGACCACCAAACUCGAGAAAACAAGAGAACAGAACACACCUUUUUCAUUCGACAUUUAGGCGUAGGUAGGUUUUGUUGGUCGGCGGCACCGCGGCGGCUCCGAUGAUCGGCAACGGGGUGGUGUGCCCGUGUAGUAGGCUGGUAGCGCCGCUGGGGCAGAUAGAGUUUUAGGGUUUCAG
rnacentral:lncRNA from 1 species